GUAACGGAGGCGCCCAAAGGUUCCUUCAGAAUGGUUGGAAAUCAUUCGCAGAGUGUAAAGGCAUAAAGGAGCUUGACUGCGAGACCUACAAGUCGAGCAGGGACGAAAGUCGGGCUUAGUGAUCCGGUGGUUCCGUAUGGAAGGGCCAUCGCUCAACGGAUAAAAGCUACCCUGGGGAUAACAGGCUUAUCUCCCCCAAGAGUUCACAUCGACGGGGAGGUUUGGCACCUCGAUGUCGGCUCAUCGCAUCCUGGGGCUGUAGUCGGUCCCAAGGGUUGGGCUGUUCGCCCAUUAAAGCGGUACGCGAGCUGGGUUCAGAACGUCGUGAGACAGUUCGGUCCCUAUCCGUCGCGGGCGUAGGAAAUUUGAGAGGAUCUGUCCUUAGUACGAGAGGACCGGGAUGGACAUACCGCUGGUGUACCAGUUGUUCCGCCAGGAGCAUCGCUGGGUAGCUAAGUAUGGAUGAGAUAAACGCUGAAAGCAUCUAAGUGCGAAACUCACCUCGAGAUAAGAUUUCCCAUUACGUAAGUAAGUAAGAUCCCUGAAAGAUGAUCAGGUAGAUAGGAUGGAAGUGGAAGUGCUG
rnacentral:rRNA from 1 species